rnacentral:rRNA from 1 species
CCUGCACGAAGUUGGAGUUGCUAGUAAUCGCAGAUCAGAAUGCUGCGGUGAAUGCGUUCCCGGGUCUUGUACACACCGCCCGUCACACCAUGGAAGUUGGGGGUGCCCAAAGUCGGUUAGAAAAUAAACUGCCUAAGGCAAAACCAAUGACUGGGGUGAAGUCGUAACAAGGUACC